CCUGCGGAAGGAUCAUUGUCGG
rnacentral:rRNA from 1 species